rnacentral:rRNA from 1 species
AUAGUUCUUCGGAACUAGAGACCGGCGCACGGGUGCGUAACGCGUAUGCAAUCUACCUUUCACAGAGGGAUAGCCCAGAGAAAUUUGGAUUAAUACCUCAUAGUAUAGUGGUACCGCAUGGUAUUACUAUUAAAGUCACAACGGUGAAAGAUGAGCAUGCGUCCCAUUAGCUUGUUGGUAAGGUAACGGCUUACCAAGGCUACGAUGGGUAGGGGUCCUGAGAGGGAGAUCCCCCACACUGGUACUGAGACACGGACCAGACUCCUACGGGAGGCAGCAGUGAGGAAUAUUGGUCAAUGGGCGCAAGCCUGAACCAGCCAUGCCGCGUGCAGGAUGACGGUCCUAUGGAUUGUAAACUGCUUUUGUACAGGAAGAAACACUGGUUCGUGAACCAGCUUGACGGUACUGUAAGAAUAAGGAUCGGCUAACUCCGUGCCAGCAGCCGCGGUAAUACGGAGGAUCCAAGCGUUAUCCGGAAUCAUUGGGUUUAAAGGGUCCGUAGGCGGUCAGAUAAGUCAGUGGUGAAAGCCCAUCGCUCAACGGUGGAACGGCCAUUGAUACUGUCUGACUUGAAUUAUUAGGAAGUAACUAGAAUAUGUAGUGUAGCGGUGAAAUGCUUAGAGAUUACAUGGAAUACCAAUUGCGAAGGCAGGUUACUACUAAUGGAUUGACGCUGAUGGACGAAAGCGUGGGUAGCGAACAGGAUUAGAUACCCUGGUAGUCCACGCCG